AGAUCUUGCGUGGAAAAUGUAACGGGGCUAAAGUGUUAAACCGAAGACAUGGACUUCUGCUUAUGCAGGAGUGGUAGAGGAGCGUUGAUAUCGCAGUGAAGUCAGAUUGUAAAGUCUGGUGGAGCGUUAUCAAGUGAGAAUGCUGGAAUCAGUAACCUUAAGACAGGUGAGAAUCCUGUCGGUCGUAAGAGCAAGGUUUCCAGGGCUACAGUAAUUGUCCCUGGGUUAGUCGGUCCUAAGCCGAGGCGUAUCAGCGUAGGCGAUGGACAACAGGUUAAUAUUCCUGUACAGGUAGUAGUUGUGAACAGUUCACGGUGAAUGACCGGAGCGGAUUAAUGGUUUAUCCGUCCAAGGUUUCAAGGAAUUGAAACUGAGUGAAAGAUAUUCUUCGGAAUAUUGAUUCUGGGUACAACGCUGGCUAGAAAAGCUGGUUAACUUAUGCUGCUGCCUACCGUACCGCAAACCAACACCGGUGCUCGGGUCGAGUAGACCAAGACCUACGUGAGAACCUUCGCUAAGGAACUCGGCAAAAAAGCGUCCGUAACUUCGGAAUAAGGACUGCCCUCUCAUUAAGAUGAGGAUUUGCUAGAAACUUGGUGGAAACAUAAGGUUAAUAGUAUUUACCUAAUAAUUUAACCAAAUUUUUCGUCAAGACAGAACACAUCAGGAAAUAUCCUGUGAUAUCUUUUCUAGUAACUCAAUCGUCAUUUUGAUGAGAGGGCCGCAGCUAAAGAGCCCACGGAACUGUUUACCAAAAACAUAGGUCUCUGCUAACGCGAAAGCGGAUGUAUAGGGGCUGACUCCUGCCCGGUGUCGGAAGGUUAAGGGGAGAGCUUUACGGUUCGAACUGAAGCCCCGAUGAACGGCGGCGAUAACUAUGAUCGUCCUAAGGUAGCGAAAUUCCUUGUCUGGUAAGUUCAGACCCGCACGAAUGGAGUAAUCAUGUGGGCACUGUCUCGGCGAAGGCCACGGUGAACGUGCAUUGGCGGUAAAGAUGCCGUCUGAUCAUGCCAGGACGAGAAGACCCCAUGGAGCUUUACUACAACUUUGCAUUGAUUAUUGGGACAUUUUGUGUAGAAUAGGUGGAAGACUUUGAAGCAGAUACGCUAGUAUUUGUGGAGUCGAAAUGUGAAAUACCACCCUGAAUGUUUUAGUAAUCUCACUUUUGACCUGAUCGGCCAAAAGGACCGUGCAUGGCGGGUAGUUUAACUGGGGCGGUUGCCUCCUAAAGAGUAGCGGAGGCGUUCAAAGGUUGGCUAACUACGGAUGGAAAUCGUAGUGAUAGUGUAUGCGCAAAAGCCAGCUUGACUGUGAGGGCCACAACCCAAUCAGACACGAAAGUGGGAGCAAAUGACCCGCUGUACAGAACUUCGGUUCAAUUUACGUGGGAAAGACAGCGCACACGGAUAAAAGUUACCCUGGGGAUAACAGGCUGAUCGCGCCCAAUAGUUCACAUAGACGGCGCGGUUUGGCACCUCGAUGUCGGCUCAUCACAUCCUGGAGGGGGAGCACCUUCCAAGGGUUCGGCUGUUCGCCGAUUAAAGUGGUACGCGAGCUGGGUUCAGAACGUCGUGAGACAGUUCGGUUUAUAUCCGGCAUGAUCGUUAGGAAUUUUGAGGAGAUCUACCCUUAGUACGAGAGGACCGGGGCGGACGAACCUCUAGUGUAUCGGUUGUGACCACCUGUUGCAUUGCCGAGUAGCUAUGUUCGGAAGAGAUAAGCGCUGAAAGCAUAUUAAGCGCGAAGCCCACUCCAAGAUUAGAAUUCCCUAUGAGCUCCCAGAGAGAAGAUCUGGUUGAUAGGUGCAAGAUGGAAGUAUCGUAAGAUAUGGAGUCGAAGCAUACUAAUAGAGCCAUCGCCUUUUUA
rnacentral:rRNA from 1 species